GGACUUUGAUAGAGUUUAUGGUGGUGGAAGUCAAUGUGUUGCGAGUUCGAAUUUAGUCUUGGAAAUAUAAAAAAUGGCAUCCUUCUUGCACAAGAUGCAUACGGAAACUAUGCUGUACAGUACAUUCUUGAGCUGCAGAUUCCAUCGGCUGUGUCGAAGAUGACCUCUCAGUUUAAGGGUAACUAUCGCACCUUGCCACCCAAAAGUUUAGUAGCCAUGUGGUCGAGAAAUGUUUAGCCGUGUUAGAUGCUCAAAUCAGGUCAACCAUCAUCCGUGAACUGAUCUCGGCUACUCAGUUUGAACAACUGCUUCAAGAUCCACAUGCAAAUUAUGUUAUACAAACCGCCCUUCGUGUUUCUGAGGUCCAUUGUUUUCGUUCAUCUAUGAAGCUGCUACAAAAUUCUGUGUUGAAAUAGCAACCCAUCAACACGGAUGUGGUGUAUUACAAAGAUGUAUCAAUCACUCGACUGACGAGUACCGCGAAAAAUUACAAUUGAUUAGGGAUCCUGCUCUAUGAAGAG